AAAUGUGUUUUGAUAGUAGCAAAAUAUUUAUAAAUGUCCAUAUCCAUUAUGAUUUUAUAAUUUUUAAAUGCACAUUUUGAACAAAUUAUUUGUCCGUUUAAGGCAACGAAUUCGUUUUAGUUCGGAAAUUUUCCAAUAUCUGUACAUCGAAAGAAUAUACAGUAUAGAUUGCUUUGUGAAUAAUAGAUAAUGAAAGGAUUUUGUUUCGUAUCUUCCGUUAGUUUAAAUAAGAUGAGAGCUAUCAGUUUUACAAUCGGAACUACGCUGUUGAUCUUUGAUACAAAGAGUGACAGAUAAUGUUGUAAGCGUAUCGAUUUUUACUACUAUUUUUUACCUUUAAAUAUGACAUAUUACAUGUAGAAUUUACCGGACUUUGAACUCUUUAAUUUGAUUGUUUCGCGUUAUAAGGAAAAGUUUAUUUUUAAUCGUUGCAGUCUUCUAAUCGCUUCACUUUACUAGUUUGUAUUUUUGUUUAAGGUAUAUUUAUAGAUUGCAGCAUGUAAAGGCGAAUUAACAAAAUCGAUGAGAGAUAAAAUAGGCUUCACAUACCAUUCUGUACGCGCUUGGGGUUAUGUCCGAUUAAAAUCGAUGGUGUUUUAUAUUCUGUACACAAAAAAAAAAAAAUCGCAGGACAUCGGAAUUAAUUGGCUGGAGGCCAAAGUUGUCUUCCUGGAAGAAUUUUUAGUUCAAAAUGAUUGUUUUCUCUUUUAAGAAAUUAAUUUCGUUUAGUGUUUAGCGUUAUUAUUACUCCAUUGUAACUGUUAACAUGCAGCCAUCUAGUAAUUUUGCCAGCUUUUGUUUAAUCGAAUCAGAUGUAGCAUUAUGAUUUUGGAUAUUCAGAACGCUUUAAAGGAAUUUUAUCGCCCUUUUGUUGUUUAACUUCACGGUUAAUGGCCAAUGAACGAAACUACACGAUAGUUUAUAAAUUAAUGGAUCCUGAAAGAAAAAAGAAACAUUUGUUAUUUUUAUUUCCAAUUGAAAUGUUAAGUUUAUUGGUUACUUUUUACCUCUCCUUUUGGAAGCGGGCAAUUUGAAAUUGUGUAGUCGCACGGAUUUUUUUAAAAGAUAGAUUUGUCAAUUUUUGAACGAUUUAUUUGUCCGGUUGUUUGCCAUUGUAAGAACAUUAAAAAUUAACCGAGAUCACCAGUGUUUCACUUAGACGUAACGAGGUUCAAAUUGAGUGGUAGAUGACCUUCGUGCGGUCGAAUUAUUUCACGACGGUUAAAAAUCCCAAAAUAGAAGAGUAGAGAUUAACAUUCGUCAAUACUAGCCUGAAGUUGUGACCUCUGUCACGAAACUUUGUUCAAACAUGGCACCUAGAUUCUAGUACCUUGAUCACAUUGAUUUUUCUGUUUCUCCACAGAUCGAUACCAUUACUGCAUUGUAAUACGGAGGGACGAUAGGCAUUUCGUUCGUAUAGCAGAACAUGCACGGUACACAUUUGCUUCCCUAACACAUUAGUGAACACGGUUAAUAUUCCUCUUUCAUCUCUUAAUCUUCACUCCGUUCACUGACGGAUUUAAGAACGUACUUUAAUGAACGAUCACUGGAGUAUGAUAAAAAUCGAUGAUUUUCACCAAGUAAUCGUAUUAUUAAAACGUUCCUUGUAUCGUUCGCUCUUAUAUACAGGAUGAAUUCGAAUUUCUAACUCUAUUUCAAUUAAGAUAAUGUAGCAACCGAUUCUUUUCUUAGUGUCAAUAUGGAGUAACUCGAUUUAGCGCCAAACUCUAUCCAAAAUAAAUCUCCAGAGGAAUCAAAUUUACCUUUUAUAUUAAGUCGAUUUGUUCCAGAUGGUGACCCGUUUACUAUCUCGAGUUCAAAGUGAUUCUCUGAAGGAAUUGCAAUAGAGAGAUACUCAUUUUACGUCACAGAUUGCUUUGCCUAGUUUACGAUACCAUAAAAAAUGCGUCGAGUUAUUAUAUAUCAGACCGAGCCGUUACGGUAGGGCCAACUUUAAUUCAUCCAAAUGACGAACAUCUUGAGAGUAUUAAUUAAUAAAGAGAGGCAAAUCAAUUUAUAAAGCGAAGUCUUCGUUAUAAAUUGCGGAACGACUGUAGGUUGGACAGCAUAUUACGCAAUCAAGCACCAGCAUCGAAACUGUAAGUGGUAAAAAUGUAAUUUACUAAAUACGAAUGGAGGCAGCGCAGUUAAUUCGUUUAUUCUGUAAACCGCACCAAAGCUCUAUGGCGAUUUCGGUGGCCUUAGUCAUUGCCGAUAUCGAAUUUAGCGAAUUUCUACUUUCGUUAAUUAAAUUUAUACGAGAUGCUACGUUUCUUAUUUUGCUUCGGAUUAUUACCGAUCGCAUUGUUCGGGAAGAAAAAGUUCGGUCCUUAUAUCGCGGUUAAUCGUUAUCAUUCGGUAAUUAUUAAUUAAUCCGUUUGAAUGUGACCAUUGUUGCUGGUUGUUUCUGCUCAUUUUCGUAUAUUGGUUAUUUAAUAAUUCGAAUCUGUUGUGCCAUCUGUUGGUUGUUUAGCAAACUAGGUUGAUCCCUAGAAAAAUUGGCGAAGGUCACCUUCACCAAAUCUCUUCUCAGCUAUUGACCUCUUAAAAUUUGUUUAAUGAGAACGUCGACAAAAUGAAAAUUUAUGAAUUUUUGUUUUUUGUGGGGGACAAUCGGUCAAGCAUUUUAACUUUUAUAUAUCUAUCUUGAUAGGGAUUUGUUAGCUUCCUUCAGACGGAAGGUAAUUUUGAUGGUGUGGUUCGCUUAAUAUAAGAUCAUAUUAAGCGCACACUUAAAAAGUUGGAGUUAAUUUUAUAGAAGCUGUCUGUACCUUGCUUAAUGUGAAGUUAACUUCAUAGAAAUGCCUAGCUGAAUACUCAGUCGGGCUUAUUUGUAGACGCUCCGCAUUGUUUAAUGCAAAAUCAACUUUUGUUGAUGUGUUUUGUUUUAAUUAAUGUAACGUUGACUUUGUAAGAUUAUGCUUUAUUUAAUGAAGUUAGAUUUUAUAAAGCUGUGCUUGGCUUACGAAACCGGGCCGCGUAACGAGUAACUUAUUUAAUGUGAAGUAACUCAUUAUAACUUAUAGAUGUUUGUUGAAAUGCUUGAAGUAAAUUUUAAAAUGACGCGAAUUAAAUAAUAUUUGUAAAGGCGAAAAUCGUUUCGCGUUAACGUCGGAAUAAUUUUUUGAAAGAGAGAGCGGUUCCGUAAAUUUGUUUACGGGGCUGUUUUGAGCUGUUUAAUAUCCUCUGUGAAUAAUACAAAUUUGUUUAACUAAGCAUGUUUUAAUCGUUGGAAGAGCACAUUGUUUUGCAUAUAGAUGAAUUCGUGUUGUUUCAAUUUCUGUUAAUUUCUGGAAUUAUUCGAUUCGAUUAUUUUUAGAAAGUAGCGAAUUAAAACGCCCAGCAAGUUGCAGCUUCCGAAAUUUUACCGUAAGGAUCAAUUUUUAUCUCAUUUUUGCUGAUGGAAACUUACCUUUGGCAAUUCGACUCUUUUCUCUAUUAAUAAAAAAAAAUUCAUUAUAACAAAACGGAAUUACAUUAUACGGAUAUCCUUAUUGAUAUUUUUUAAAACCCAAAUCAAAUAGCGUAAGUGAAUUAUCGGCGCAGGUAUUUAGAAUCUCAUUGUACUGUACUGUACCAUACAGCGUUGAUCCAGCGUGUAACGGGAUUGAAUAGCUGUAAAAACAAACCUAUCCUGUUUCUGCAGGAGUGCUUUCAGGCAAACCGGAACUUUAUUACCGAAUAAUCCUAUAAUUGUUAGUUUGGAAACAUUUGUUAAUAGCUUUUUUGUAUUUUUAAAUGGUUGAUAACAAUCUUAAAAUCAUAAUUGAGAUCAAGGUAAUAGUCGUUUUGUACAGUAGCAUAGCUAUUGUUUAAGAGGGAGGAUAGGAGGAUACUUUUAUGCAGGUUUUUUUAAUAUAAAUUUGAUACUGUUAUAAGAUGAUAUCGCUUGUUUUUUUACAGGCGUUUAACUAUGAAAAUGACUGGUUCGUUUAAAUGUUUCAUUAAUUUCUAGCUCCAUUUUCCCGAUAAAUUUGCUUAAAAGGUGAUAAUUAAGAGAUUAAAAGUAACCUAUUCGAGUAUUAAAUUGGGUUAUAAGAUUCGCAUAAAACAUAAGUAUACCUUAUCAUCGCUAUAACUUCCCUUAGAAAACUACUUCAUCAUUGACUUGUUUAUUCGAAAAAUAUAUUCAUAAAGCGUUAAUUGGUUUGUUUUUUCUGAAUGUGACCGCAAACGCAUUGUCAAUAAUUUUUUCGCGAGAUCAGUGCUAAACAGGUCGGAAAUGAUAAUCUGGUAAUGUUCAGUUGCUGGUUCUCCCCUUUUUUUUUACAUAUUCCUUGCUUUCAUUUUACGUAGAAACACUUAAAAGCAUUUAAUGUUUUGUAAGAAAUUGAUCGAGAAUCCGUGAAACGUAGCGAAUUUUAUAGUUUGUCGCUGUGUCCAUUAGAAAUUUGAAUUAAUCCAAGAGAAUAUUUUUACAAGUUUAAAAAUCUAUCAAAUGGAUAAUUGAGCAUGCUCUUUUAUGUUUUUAUUGUAUAAAAAUUAGUUUCUCCGUUUAUUUAUUUACUUUAUUUAUUUUCUUGUGUAUUUACGAGCAUUGUUGAACUUUUUAAGUUGAAAUCUGAGAUGAGAAAUAGCAUUAGACUCGAAUCGGCAAAUCGAAGCAAUAAUUAAUUAGCAUUACAAAAUUAAUUGCUCUUCUACAGUAUUUACAGCGUGGAAAUUAUAAAAGAUACUUUUGUCUGUAAACAUCUCGCAAUCGCUUGAAAGGGAUCUAUCACUAUAAAUUUUUUAGACCUACAUACUUCGUUCAUGUGCAGACCAUUCAAAAUUAAUUACAUAAUGUUUAUGUAGGUUAAAACUGUGUCACAAACAUUUAUCUUUACAUAUUAUAAAAGUGGUAUCUUCCAUUUAAAUAUCUCCACAUCAUGUAGUAAAUGAUAUCUUCACAUGAGAGCAUCUGUUAGUCAUAAAAAUAAAUUGCGGUAGUUUUUACAUCUGCCCCUUCCUUCUAUGGAAUGAUGUUAAAGCCGUAUCAAUUGUACUUAGUCUACUGUUCAUCUAGUUGAAAAUGUCUAUAACUUGUUUUUUCGUAAUUAAUAUAUACUGUUUAAUUUUUUUAAAAAACCUCAAAUCUAUGCUGCACUUCUAAUUCGGAUUUCUGCCUUUUUUUCUUGAAUAUUGUACAAGGAUGUGGAUGUAUUUUUUAUUCAAUAUAAAAUCAUAUACAUAUCCUUUUUACGGUGUUUAAUGCAUUAAAAAACAAGGGCAAAACUCGCUUCGUUUCAUACAGCGAAUUCUUAAGAAUAAUUUUUACCAUUUUCCUUCUUAAGAAAAUGGUUGGAUACUUCCACACGUUAGUAUUAGAAAAUAACUUAAAUAUAGAAGAUUAUCGCCACUUUCUAUUGUUAAUGUUGUAAAAAGGAUAUGGAUACGUUUUACGUAUUGUUAAUGCUAUAUAAAAAAAGGAUAUAGAUCGCCUACUUUUUGCAAUGUUGAAUAAACGUAGCCAUAUCCUUAAAGAAUGAUCUCACUGAUAGGAAAUAGCGAUAGUCUAAAUUAUUACUUUGUCAGCGAUACCUUAAUAUCUUUUCAUAUUAUUUAAAAAUCAUUUAUUCAUUUAUACAGUAUAAAGCUGUGCUAAUAUUUUCUAGAACUUUUUAAAAUUAGGAUGAAAAUUGCGUGAAUUUCGAAAUGUACUUUUCACCAGCGUCAGUAAAUGAGUGAUAAAAUUACGAAGUUAAAAAAAAUAGAAAAGAUACUUAUAUAUGAAAAAUAGUGUUUUCACGAGAGAAUUGAAUUCGAAAUUUCCAGUGAAAAGGCAUUUUAUUUUGAGAUAUUUUUUACAUCUUCAACAUUGACCCACUGACAUCAUGUAGAAGUUUCGAGUUUGUCUGUUCUUCUUGUAUCUGUCCGAAUCCUUUAAAAUGCCCAUUAUAAAUGGAAAGGAAAACGAAAAAAAAGAUGAAGACUUAAGAUGGAAAAGUGCUUUGAUGUCAGAAAUCCGUUAUUUUUAUUCGAUGACAUUUAUUAUUUUUCAGAAUAAUCCAUAAACGGAAACGGAAGUAUCUACUAAAAAUUUAUAUCGGAAAGUUCAUAUCUAAAUAUAUGUUUAAAACUCGAUACGCAGUUUCUAAAACUCCAAGCGAGAGAAUGUUUAGAUGUCGUUUACGCGAAAAAUAUUGUAAUAUCCCAAACAUUAGUUAGUAGAUAAAAGCUAAAUCGUGGAAGGUUCUUGUAAUGCCGUCGAUAGUAAUUCUAAUGGAAAAUUGAAUAAUUGAUUCAACAUAGACAAAUAAUUUAUUCAUAACAUGUAAAUUUUAAUUCAUAGUAAUGCUUUAUUCUUGUGUAUCCAUAUUUUGAUGUACACUAAUAGAGAUGAAGUAAAAAAUACAGCGUGAUUAUUGAAUAUAUUAUUGUAUUUUUUGUAGUUUCAUACAUAAUUAAUGCAUAAUGGUCUGUAGUUCAAAUUUCGAAUUGAAAUAAUUUAACAUUUCAGAAUUUUAUUGAGUUAGUCAAUAUCGUUUUUUGUUUGAUUUAAUUUGUAAAAUAUUAUAUAUUUAAGUAAACUUCUUAUGUUUAAUUAACAUUUUAUUUUUUAAUGUCUAUGAAAAUUGCCAUAAAUAUGAACCGAAUUUUUUCAUUAUGGGAAAACUGUUCUCUGAAAUGUAAUAAUUCGAAUAGUUGCAAAAGUUUGUACGUACAGUUCAGAAAUUUAAAUAUUCGAGAUAACUAAUGGAUGGAAAAUAUUCUGCAGAUGAAAAGUUGUAGGACUAGAAUGGAAAGAAUAUAGAUCGUUGAAAGGAAAGAAUUUCCAGAACACAAAGUUAUUGAAUGUCCAUUUAUUCGCAAAGGAAAACGUGGAGGAAAUUUGAAAAGUGUGUAAUACUCGUAGCUAAAAAUAACAAUAAUAUAUAUAUUUCUUUUGUAUAAGAACCGAUUGGACCACGUACUUCCCGAAAAUGUUCGAAUGGCCAGAAGACGUUUUAAUGCCGAUUUAAUAAAUGAGACGUUGGAGAUCUGCCAUUCGAAAUCUAUAAGGCAGAAAACAGUUUAGGAUAAAGAGGAGGUGGAAGAAAUAUUUUCAGGCAUUAGUAAUUUUUCUCUUUAGCAAGAUGAACAUUUGUACAUUGAAAAAAUGAACGUUCUACUUCGUAAAUAGAAUCAUAAAUCCGAACCAGUAUGCCAAGGUGCCGACGACGUCUUUAUAAAAUAUCUACCGUAAAGAGAAAAAAAAAGAUUUAGGCAAGAACUGUUGUCGCAUCCAUAUGUCAAAAUAUUAAGAUUGUAUCGGCCUAGAUAUUUCCUAGAUCGGGAUUAAAGAUAAGCUCUAUCCGACACGAAAUUCGCUGAAAAGAACCGGACAGAACUUAGAUCGAGAAUUCGAAAAGAAUGCUGUAUAUUGUUGGGAAUAGUCUCGAAUAAACUAGAUAUACAUUGAUAAAUUAUAUCAUUUAUUUCACAAGAGUCGAAACAUGGAAAACAAGUUGUUUUCAUCUUAUUUGUGAUAAGGAAUGGAGCAAAAAAUUUAUAUAACGUGCGCUAGUUAUUAACCCUUCAAAUAAAUAGCCAAAUAGGAUUAAGUAUCACGGUUUACUUUGGUAAAUUCUAGAAAUUUAGGUUGAAUAUGAAACACGUGAUUUGCGUACUAUUAAAUAAUACUAUUUUAAUUACUGAAUUUAUUAUAGUUUGCUACUUUCGUAAGUUUGCAGGAAUUGAAUUGGUUUGUUUUCGAACUUUCAUGAAGUCUUAUUUUUAAGCGCGAAUUAAUCAAGUAAGUAUUUUAAAUUGUCAUAAUAAUCAUAGACAUUUUAGAGAGGACUGUAUAUGCGUACAGUAAUAUCUGUAUACAAGUCAAUUUUUUCUCAGUUUCGUAUAACUUAGCUAGACAAAAUAAAUACUUUUCAAAGUUGAAUGGGGAAAAACGAAGCGUAUAUGUAGAACUUAAAUAUAUGUUUAAAUCUCUACGCAAGAAAUUCUUAGAAAUGCAUUUUAAAUACGUUUUGGAACAUCUCGAUGUUUCCUUCUUAUCAGUAAUUACUGAAUAAUUCGAAAUUAAAAAAAAAACUGAAUUAAGAAAAAUCAUUGACUGAAAGUUGCACCAUUAACUAAUUAAUUUAAAAAUGUUCCCUUUCUUGUUGUUUCGGAGUAUCUAAAAUUGGCUAGACAGUUAUCAAAAUGUCUGUUAUCUCAAUUAAAAAAAAGUGGACCGGACUGGGAAAAUCGUUUUCAAUCAGGCAGAAAUGAAUGUGUUUGUAAAUCUUUAAUAUGUCCGAAAUAGCUUUCGAAGCAAGGUUUCAGCUUUAUUUAUGUUCCCUUCGGCGAUCAUUUCUCAAGCUUUUCCGUUGUUGAGACUUAGGAGCAAUAAAGCCAUAUCGAGAAUAGUUUACGGAUGAUCGAAAACCGAACUAUUCCAGAUUGGCUAUCGUGGGAUAUAAAUUACGGUUAAAUUUGAUGUAAUUACGAGGCCGUUUUAACAGUAGAAAAGUCAGAUUUGUCUUGUCGAAUUCUAAAAUUACUAGAACCCUAUUGAAGGAGCCGGCUUUUAGACGAACCCCCCUCAUAGAAUUUUCUUUUUAGCUGCAGGCUGCUUUUGUAAUAGGAUUGUCUGGUUACAAAAAUAGUUUGGCGGUGCAAUACCUGACAUACGACUCCGAAACUACCUUACCGUUUUUAGUUUUUAAGGAAAAUACCCUUCUCUGUUUCGUUACUAGAAGAAGAAUCCACGAAUAAGACAAUACAUACAAAGGGAAAAAAUUAUUAAAAAAAUGCUAUUUAUGUGUAUAGAGAGAAUGUAAAGUCGGAAGUAUCUGUGUUUCCUGGAAGUGUUAAUAAGAUUGCGAAUGAAAAGACUUUUCUGUAAAGGAAAGGAUAAAUCAGGCACAUAAUGUAUCAUUGCCGCAAUUAUUGCUUGUAGACGUACACUGUAAAGGCACACUUCAUUAAACAGCUUUUCCGGUUGUUAAAACGCAUCGGGAAAAAAGUAAUAUGUUUUUUACCGAUACAAACAGGUUUUUUUCACGCCUGUAAGGAGAAGAAAUGCUCAAACGAAGAAAAUAAAAGAAAAAAGUUUAAAAUAACUAUAAAAUCAGCACGUUCUACACUCUUAACCAGUAGUGAAAGAAGUUUAAAUUCUGUAGAGAAUUUGAACAGUAAUACUUGUAAAUAUUAGCUUUAUAUCACUUUAGACUUAAACAACCAAAAAGAAAAAUUUAGAAUCAUAACUUGACUGAACAACAUAUAGCCUGCGGUCCGUUAUGAUUUUGAUAUCAUUUCCUAUUUUUCCCUUUGGUUAUUUAAGGUGAUAUAAAGCUAAUAUUUACAUGAAUUAAGUGGUAAAUGUACACAAGUCCAUCGAUUCGCAAGAUUUGGAUGUUCCUCCGUUUCCUGUGGCGGAUGUUUCUUAGUUCGAAAUUUUAUAAAUGCAUUGCAAUUCAGAUUUGAAAGACACUUUCUUUUUUAUCGCUCGAUUGAUUUUCUUUCCCCCUUUUUUGUUAAGAUUUCUUUCUCAUAGAGCUCCAGAGAAAUUUCUAACGUUAGCAUAAAAUUUAAUGGUUAAUAUUUUUGAAUAUGAAGAGACAUGUUAAAUAUUUAAACGUUUAUGCAUUCAAUUUUGUAUUUCGGAGGACGGUGUUGCUAACAAAUGGCGGUGUUGUCAUGGUAACAAAUUCCUACUGAGGCUGUUUUCUCGAUUAUUAGCAAUGUGGCUUUUCUGUCAUUUAUAGCGUGAUUCUUCUCCCUCUUUCAAUCUCUUCCGCUAAAGGUCGCGUUUUUUCCCUCUCCGCCGUUCGUUCGUUUUAUCUGCAACUGUGUCAAGGCUAUCAAUGUCAAGGUUAUUCAACUUUAAAACGAUCGCUCUCGGUUUUCUUAUUUUUCUGGAAAAUCUGGGUCGAUCCGUUGGUUUUUCCCCCCCUCCUCCUCCUCCUCCUUUCUUUCCUCCACUAGAGGAUUUCUAGAGAUUAAGCUGGAUGCUAGCAUUCUCGGAGGUUAUUGCACUCCAGUUUCUCUCUGUUUCGUGUAAUGGGAAGCCCUAUUAAUUUGCAUGAAACAAAAAAAAAGAGAGAGAGAAGAGGCAUUUUUAUUUUCUUUUUUGGAGUCGGUUUUGUAGUACCACGAAUAAGGCGAGAAGGUUAAUAAACUUUCUAUUUACAUCAAUGGAAGCUCUGUUCUCGGUUUGCAUGUGCUCUUUAAUAUUUAGUUACCGGAUAAAAUAAAGGAAAAAUUAAAUUGGCGACUACAGCUUUGCGGUGUUUCUUUAUUUCUUUUAUGGAUUAAGCGUUUGUUCGAGAUCGAAUACGGACUGCUAUAGUUUUACGUUUGUCUCUGGGAAGAAAAUUAGAUGCGAAUGUGAGAGAUGUGUCGGUUAGGUCUGACAGCUCUCAUUGGUUGCUCCGAAAUGCUCCUCCUACUGCGUAACUGAUAUGCUGUCAACAUGUUCAUGGUAGGCUAACUAUUAGCUAUUACUGAAAUGCCUUGUGGAUGGAUUGGGUUUGAGCUGGUUAACAAAUUGUUUAGUCUAAUUUUAUUUUAUUUGUUUUUUGCUGUACUCUUUGAACAAUUGCAUCCCGGAGGCAUUCUUGUUUUAUUUUUUAGUUGUUUUUUUUAACUGACAGUUUGUUUUACAGUUAAUUUUUUUUACCCUCCUUUAUAGUAUCGAGACUAGAUUCGGCACAGAAUUAUGUAAAUACUGACUCUUUCAGAUUGAAAGCUUUGCUGAAGGUAGCUUCAACGUUGUUAAUUUUCCAUUUUUUUUUUGUUUCGUGUUUUUAGGCUUUGGUAUAGGUGGUAUUGAUUUCUCUCUCUCUCUCUUUUUCUCGCUCCCCCUCCCAACUGGUGAGGCCAUCGCCGUUAUGUGGGAAAAUUUUAAUG